rnacentral:rRNA from 1 species
GAUGAACGCUGGCGGCGUGCCUAAUACAUGCAAGUCGAGCGAACAGACGAGGAGCUUGCUCCUCUGACGUUAGCGGCGGACGGGUGAGUAACACGUGGAUAACCUACCUAUAAGACUGGGAUAACUUCGGGAAACCGGAGCUAAUACCGGAUAAUAUAUUGAACCGCAUGGCUCAAUAGUGAAAGACGGUUUUGCUGUCACUUAUAGAUGGAUCCGCGCCGCAUUAGCUAGUUGGUAAGGUAACGGCUUACCAAGGCAACGAUGCGUAGCCGACCUGAGAGGGUGAUCGGCCACACUGGAACUGAGACACGGUCCAGACUUCUACGGGAGGCAGCAGUAGGGAAUCUUCCGCAAUGGGCGAAAGCCUGACGGAGCAACGCCGCGUGAGUGAUGAAGGUCUUCGGAUCGUAAAACUCUGUUAUUAGGGAAGAACAAAUGUGUAAGUAACUAUGCACGUCUUGACGGUACCUAAUCAGAAAGCCACGGCUAACUACGUG